rnacentral:lncRNA from 1 species
CAUCUGCUCUUGUGAAUUACUAACAUUCAUGGGUGCAGCCAUCUUGAAACAACAUGUUGGAUAGUAGCGUAAAUGAAAUCCGCUACCAAACGUGGCAUCACUCACUCAACGUGUUCGAUAGUAGCGCUACCUUGAAGACACGUUCAACAGAAAAUCUCUCAACUGUUCCACAACAGUUGAGUCUGCAGAACGCAGCCAAUAUUAAUAUCAAAAUUAUAUCCAUUGCUACUGUUAUUACAAUAUAUAAACAAAAGUACUACAUUAGGAAUGGGUUAAACACAAAUUUAAUUAAACAAAUACUUUCGGUUUUAUAAAGCAAACCCUCUUCAGUUGCAUUCCACUCUCACUGGGGGGGGGUCGGUC